rnacentral:rRNA from 1 species
CCUACGGGUGGCAGCAGUGAGGAAUAUUGGUCAAUGGACGAGAGUCUGAACCAGCCAAGUAGCGUGAAGGAUGACUGCCCUAUGGGUUGUAAACUUCUUUUAUAUGGGAAUAAAAUGUUCCACGUGUGGGAUUUUGUAUGUACCAUAUGAAUAUGGAUCGGCUAACUCCGUGCCAGCAGCCGCGGUAAUACGGAGGAUCCGAGCGUUAUCCGGAUUUAUUGGGUUUAACGGGAGCGUAGGUGGAUUGUUAAGUCAGUUGUGAAAGUUUGCGGCUCAACCGUAAAAUUGCAGUUGAAACUGGCAGUCUUGAGUACAGUAGAGGUGGGCGGAAUUCGUGGUGUAGCGGUGAAAUGCUUAGAUAUCACGAAGAACUCCGAUUGCGAAGGCAGUUCACUGGACUGCAACUGACACUGAGGCUCGAAAGUGUGGGUAUCAAACAGGAUUAGAUACCCUAGUAGUC